rnacentral:rRNA from 1 species
CCUUCUUUUUCUCUCUUUUCUCUUAAUUCCUUUUCUUAAAGCGUUCUCAGGCGGUUGUGCAAGACAGAUGUGAAAUCCCCGGGCUCAACCUGGGAACUGCAUUUGUGACUGCACGACUGGAGUGCGGCAGAGGGGGAUGGAAUUCCGCGUGUAGCAGUGAAAUGCGUAGAUAUGCGGAGGAACACCGAUGGCGAAGGCAAUCCCCUGGGCCUGCACUGACGCUCAUGCACGAAAGCGUGGGGAGCAAACAG